rnacentral:miRNA from 1 species
UUGCACUGUAUGGUUCGAGGCGA